CAUCUCCCAUUAAUGGAAUCCAAGUACUUGCUUAAAAUUGGUUGUCGUUAUUAGAAUUGGUGUUAGUGGAUACUAGGAAUCCUUCAUAUGCAAUCUGCAUUGCUCCCAGAUCAGCUAUAUCCGUGUCUAUUCUCAUGAACAUUUUUCAGACUUCAACACCAGUUUAUCUGUAACCAAAGCAAAGUUGGACUUUUUUGUAUGUUCCUUUUUGCAAUGUCGAAGCUUGUUGGAUUUUCAAUUAACUUUGUUCUGUUUAUCACAGACGUAACCUCCUGGAUGCAGGGAAGAAACACAGACAAGCUCAUCAAGUGAAUCCUUGCACAAUAUGAAUCCUUGUAGGGAAUUCCUCAUCAAUUUCAUAAUCUCUCAAAAAAGAAAAAAAGUUAGUUUGAUUUUCCCUGUUUAAAGGAGGAUGUUAAAAUCUUUCUUAACCCUCUGGACCUGGGAAAAGCAUUGCUCUCUUCCUGCAUCUCCUCCACUCCAAGUACAGAGCAUCAACAUAGCAACCAGUAACCAGGUUUGGAACUAAUGUGAAAAAUGCCUAGUUACAGAAAUGAUGUCUUCAGUAUCACAGUAAGUAAAAGCCUUUUAACAGAAAAGCAGGAACAGCUUCAUCACAACAAGAUGCUCUCUUUUUCUCUGUAUAAUAGCUGCUUUAGUCUUCUUUAAAUGAUUCAAAAAACACACACAACAUACACUGGAAAUUGGAGGAAGGUGCUUGCAUAUUUUUUCUUUCAGUGCUGCUGCUCCUGUUGGUGGUGGUUGUAUUUUGUGUGGCAAUAUCAUGCUGAUCUUUUUUGAUUUCAGAAGCUAAAUAGGACCAGACUUAUUUUACCAUCAGAUGGGAGGCCACCAGGAAAUCCCAGCAGAACUGCAGAUUAGACUGGGAAAUUUAAAAAAAGAAUUCCAGAAGAAAGAAAGAUGAAGAAUCCAUGAGUGAAAAAUUAAGUAUACCCAUACUGCUUCCAUAGGUAUGAAGACGCUACGUAGCAUCCAGAUCAGUGGUGGGUUGCCCCCGGUUCACACCGGUUCUAUAGAGGAGCCAAGGAGGUUCCGCCCACUGACCCCGACAUCAUCAAAAUGCAUCUGCACGCAGCCCCGUUGCGAACCGGUAGUAAAGGUAAGAAGAACCCACCCCUGAUCCAGAUGCUGCUAAUCAAGUGACCUUGAUCAAUUGAUCAUCAGCAAGUGUGACUACCUGUAUAAAAGCCGAAGUUUUAGGAGUUUGCUGGUCUCCAACAUUGAGGUGUGUGUUAACACAAUGCCAAAGCCUUCAUUCAGCAAUAAUCUUAGAGAAGCCAUUGUUGCUGGCCAUCAAUCUGGGAAGGGUUAUAAGGCCAUUUCCAAACAAUUUAAAUUCCAUCAUUCUACAGUGAGGAAAAUUAUUUACAAGUGGAAUCAUUCAAGACAGUUCUGAUCUUUCCAGGAGUGAAUGUCCUAGCAAAUUCAUUCCAAGGUCAGACUAUGCAAUGCUCAGAAAAAUUGCAAAAAAAUCCAAGAAAUCUCAGAUUCUACAGUCCUCAGCAUGUUAAAUGUUAAAAGUUCGUAACAGUACAAUUAGAAAAAGACCGAACACUAUGGGUUUUAUUUUUUUUUUGAAGGAUUUCCAGGAAAAAAGUCUCUUCUCUCUAAAAAGAACAUGGCAGCAUGGCUUAGUUGCAUCUGAAUAAAUCACAUGACUUUUGGAACACUGUCCUUUAGACAGACAAGACCAGGGUGGAGAUGUUUUGCCAUAAUGUACUGUGCCACAUUUAGUGAAAACCAAACAGAGCAUAUCAGCAGCACAAAAAUCUCAUACCAACCAUUAGACACGGUGAUGGAAGGGUGAUAAUUUGGGCUUGUUUUGCAGCCACAGGGCAGUCAUUGAAUCGACCAUGAACUCCUCUGUAUACCAAAGUAUUCUAGAGUCAAUGUGAAGACAUCUGUCUUAUGGUUAAUGCUUGGCCAACAUUGGGUCAUGCAAUAGAACAAUGAUCCCAAGCACACCAGCAAAUCUACAACAGAAUGGCUGAGAAAGAGAAGAAUCAAGAUGUUGCAAUGGCCCAGUCAAAGUUCAACCCAACUGAAAUGCUGUGGCGGGACUUCAACAGAGCUGUGCAUAAAGAAAUAACCUCAAAUGAACUAAAACAAUGUUGUAAAGAAUAGAAUAGAAUAAGCUGGAAGGGACCUUGGAGAUCUUCUAGUCCAGCCCCCUGCUCAAGCAGGAGAACCUAUACCAAUUAAGAUAAGUGACUGUCCAAACUCUUCUUAGAAACAUCCAGUGAUGGAGCGCCCAUGAUUUCUGGAGGCAAGCUGCUCCACUGGUUAAUUGUCCUCACUGUUAGGAAGUUUCUCCUUAAUUUCAGGUUGCUUCUCUCUUUGAUUAGUUUCCAACCAUUGUUUCUUGUCCUGCUCUCUGAUCCUUGUGGGCCAAAUUCCUCCACAACAACGUGAGAGACUGAGAAUGUCAUACGGAAAAUGAUUACUUCAAGUUAUUGCAGCUAAAGGUGGUUCUACAAGCUAAGGAAUCAUAGGGUGUACUUAGUUUUUCCACACAUGGCAUCUCCAUUUUGGCUUUCUUUUUGUAAAAUAAGUGAUGAUUGGGUGUAA